GGAUCUUCAUUGACCAACAUUACUCUUAUAGAAGAUUGGCAUGAAGAAGGUAUGUCUAUGACCCCAUCUUGUAGAAUUUGUAAAGGAUGAGCAAAGUAGAUCUAUUGUUUAAAGCUGUAUUGAAGCAUGAUAGAAUAAUUAUUUUAUCAUACAGCUAGUAGACCAGAUUGUAUGCUCAUUAUGUGACCUUGUGCAAGACUUCAAUCUAACUUUAAUUAAUCAUAUUUUAUUGAUAACAAAUACGUCAUAAUCUGAAUUUUGAUAGAAACAAACGUUUAAGAUAAGUUGAUUAAAACUUAGUUAACACAUCUUAUUGAUAAUUAUCUUAAGCAAAUAGAAUCUAAACUAAAUUGAUUUGACCUUGAUAAAUCUGCCUAUUGCCUCACAUGCUUGUCCUUGAACAGUCUUGGUUAAUGAAACUAUCUCUUUAGUUCAAGUGACAUAUGUUUGCUUAUGUUUAGGCAAUUUCUUGAGUAAAGUGACUCAACAUUCAAUUAUUAUCAUAUCUUAGGUUGAGUUACCUAGUUAAGAAAUAUGCUAUAUGAAUGUUGUGUAAGAAACU
rnacentral:lncRNA from 1 species